UGGAUAGUUCAGUUGGCUGGAGUGUGGUGCUGAUAACGCCAAGGUUGCAGGUUCGAUCCCAGUCUGGGAGAG
rnacentral:tRNA from 1 species